AAACCAACUGGGAUUACCUUAGUAACGGCGAGUGAAGCGGUAAAAGCUCAAAUUUGAAAUCUGGUACUUUCAGUGCCCGAGUUGUAAUUUGUAGAAUUUGUCUUUGAUUAGGUCCUUGUCUAUGUUCCUUGGAACAGGACGUCAUAGAGGGUGAGAAUCCCGUUUGGCGAGGAUACCUUUUCUUUGUAAGACUUUUUCGAAGAGUCGAGUUGUUUGGGAAUGCAGCUCAAAGUGGGUGGUAAAUUCCAUCUAAAGCUAAAUAUUGGCGAGAGACCGAUAGCGAACAAGUACAGUGAUGGAAAGAUGAAAAGAACUUUGAAAAGAGAGUGAAAAAGUACGUGAAAUUGUUGAAAGGGAAGGGCAUUUGAUCAGACAUGGUGUUUUUUGCAUGCACUUUGCCUCUCGUGGGCUUGGGCCUCUCAAAAAUUUCACUGGGCCAACAUCAAUUCUGGCAGCAGGAUAAAUCCAUUAAGAAUGUAGCUACUUCGGUAGUGUUAUAGCUUUUUUGGAAUACUGUUAGCCGGGAUUUGA
rnacentral:rRNA from 1 species